rnacentral:rRNA from 1 species
UACGAAGGGGGCUAGCGUUGCUCGGAAUCACUGGGCGUAAAGGGUGCGUAGGCGGGUCUUUAAGUCAGGGGUGAAAUCCUGGAGCUCAACUCCAGAACUGCCUUUGAUACUGAAGAUCUUGAGUUCGGGAGAGGUGAGUGGAACUGCGAGUGGUAGAGGUGAAAUUCGUAGAUAUUCGCAAGAACACCAGUGGCGAAGGCGGCUCACUGGCC